rnacentral:rRNA from 1 species
UACGGGGGGGGCAAGCGUUGUUCGGAAUUACUGGGCGUAAAGGGCUCGUAGGUGGCCAACUAAGUCAGACGUGAAAUCCCUCGGCUUAACCGGGGAACUGCGUCUGAUACUGGAUGGCUUGAGGUUGGGAGAGGGAUGCGGAGUUCCAGGUGUAGCGGUGAAAUGCGUAGAUAUCUGGAGGAACACCGGUGGCGAAGGCGGCAUCCUGGACCAAUUCUGACACUGAGGAGCGAAAGCCAGGGGAGCAAACGGG